UUUUCAGAGAGACUAGUUAUAUACGCAGGAAGUGCCCCAUCAGCAUGUUUUAGACUUCCUCAUCAGUUGAUGGCUCCAGUUGAUGCUGGACCUUUUGGAUCACCUAUGGACUUCUUGGGUGAACUUCGCCGAGCACAGCGCAAUGCAAAUACCAAUUUUAGCACAUAACACAACAUCUACACAUGACUAGUAUGUUCCUGGAUGUUUACUUUUGGAACUUAAUUUCAGUCGGAAAAAACAGUACUACCCUCUUGUUUGUGAUCUUCAAACUAAAAUGUGUAUGAAAAUGUAAGUGAAGUUAGAGCAUCAA